CCGACCUACCCAUAGAUUUGCUCGCAUCGCCGCCGCCGCCGCCCCUGACCUACCCAUAGAUUUGCUCGCAUCACCGCCUCUCCCUCCACGGCAUCCCACCCUUGCCCGUCCUCUAGUCCUGCGUGCUGCCCCGUCAUCCACGGCCGAGGAGCUGCUGCCCCGUCUGCAGCCAAGGCGCCACCGCCUACUCCACUGCCUAGGAGCUGGCGAGGAGGCAACUGCAGUUCUGGAGUUGCCCCGCCGUUCUUCUUCCUCCACCAGCGACCCCUGUCCAGAUCGGCACCCUUGUCCUGCCCCGACUCCAGGCCACAGCAGGAGAAAAGAUGGAAGGAACAAGAGGUGGAAGCGAGCUCCCUACAUAUGAACAAUCAAGAGUUAGGCUCGUAGCAGACAUGAUUUGGCUGAAGAACUUGGCUAUGGCCCACAGAGAGAUGAAAUAUUUGUCAGAGCACAUACACAUAAAAUUGGAGUUCCUACCGCACAAGCAAACACUAAUUGUUAGUCGCACAUACACAUCAUGUGUUUUUCUUUAGUACAGCCAUGCACGUGACUGCAUAUCAAUUUAUGAGAAGUAUAGACUGCACUGACUUAAUUGUAGAACUAAAUUAGGUACCUCAUUUGCUGUAUUUUUUCAAAACAACCUGAAGAAGUAGCUGAACCACCAACAACACUUGCAAUGGAAAUUCAAUUUCGUCAACAAGAUGAACAUGUUUCUACUCUACUAGAGCUCACGGAAAAAAUGCAACGAAAAAUUGGAGAGAUGCAUCAAGUUCUCUUCUCAAGGAAUCGGAAAUGUCGAAAUACCAGAUUCCUGAAUACAUUCCUGACCUCGCACAUCCAAUCACCGGUCUGAUCUUGUUGUCCAACGACCGAGAGUUCCGAGACGAAUGCGCGGCACUCCUCAGGAAACAUAGGGACAUAUGGCAGAAAGUAGGAAGUCCACAAGUUGAUGUAAGAUGUUCCGGUGAUCGCUUUUGUUCAUUACAUGGUCGACACAACUUAUUCAUAUGGAAGUUGAUGUCGGCUUGGUGAUCGAAGGAUUAGUCUUUUUCAUAUAAGGAAGUUGAUGCUGGCUUGGUGAUCGAAGGAUUGGUCUCUUUCAUGUGGAAGUUGAUGUCAGCUUGGUGAUUGAAGGAUUGGUCUCUUUCAUAAUUGCUCUCUUAGAAGCUUGCCCCUCAUAUUUAAGAACAUGUCAUGUCUUGUAUGUAAUACCUAUGUAUUUCCUUAAUGGAUGUAGCUAACUUGAGUGAAGAAAACUAAUGAAUUUUCAAUUUAUGUUGAAUAAAUAUAUUGGUCAAUGGUAUCUUGUGACGAAUAGAAGAGUAAUUGUUUGUAUA